UACGUAGGGGGCAAGCGUUGUCCGGAUUUAUUGGGCGUAAAGAGCGUGUAGGCGGCCAUGCAGGUCCGUUGUGAAAACUCGGGGCUUAACUCCGAGACGUCGAUGGAAACCGCAUGGCUAGAGUCCGGAAGAGGAGAGUGGAAUUCCUGGUGUAGCGGUGAAAUGCGCAGAUAUCAGGAAGAACACCCGUGGCGAAGGCGGCUCUCUGGGACGGUACUGACGCUGAGACGCGAAAGCGUGGGGAGCGAACAGG
rnacentral:rRNA from 1 species